rnacentral:rRNA from 1 species
CCUGGCUCAGAACGAACGUUAGCGGCGCGCCUAACACAUGCAAGUCGAGCGAGAAGGAAGCAAUUCCUGUAAAGCGGCGCACGGGUGAGUAACACGUAGGUAAUCUGCCUCGAGGUGGUGGAUAACCUUCCGAAAGGAGGGCUAAUACAGCAUGAGACCACGUCUUCGAAAAGAGGAAGAGGUCAAAGCGGGCCACUAUACAUAAGCUCGCGCCUUGAGAUGAGCCUGCGGCCCAUCAUGGUAGUUGGUAGGGUAACGGCCUACCAAGCCGAAGACGGGUAGCUGGUCUGAGAGGAUGAUCAGCCACACUGGAACUGAGACACGGUCCAGACUCCUACGGGAGGCAGCAGUGGGGAAUCUUGCGCAAUGGGCGAAAGCCUGACGCAGCGACGCCGCGUGAGUGAUGAAGGCCUCGG